rnacentral:rRNA from 1 species
UACGUAGGUGACAAGUGUUGUCCGGAUUUAUUGGGCGUAAAGCGAGCGCAGGCGGUCUUUUAAGUCUGAUGUGAAAGCCCACGGCUCAACCGUGGAUGGUCAUUGGAAACUGGAGGACUUGAAUACAGAAGAGGUAAGUGGAAUUCCAUGUGUAGCGGUGAAAUGCGUAGAUAUAUGGAGGAACACCAGUGGCGAAGGCGACUUACUGGUCUGUUAUUGACGCUGAGGCUCGAAAGCGUGGGGAGCGAACAGG